rnacentral:rRNA from 1 species
CCAAUAGCGUAUAUUAAAGUUGUUGCAGUUAAAAAGCUCGUAGUUGAAUUUCGGGAUCAAUAUGUCGGUCGUUCCAUCGGUACGUACUGGUAUCAUUGGUUUCUCCUUUCUGACGAACCAUGAUGUCAUUAAUUUGGUGUUAUGGGAAGUUAGGACUGUUACUUUGAAAAAAUUAGAGUGUUUAAAGCAGGCUUUGGCUU